rnacentral:lncRNA from 1 species
GCCAAAGAAUUAGUACUUUGUGCGCAGCCUCCAUUCAAACGGAUAACCGCAUCUUAACGUCUUCUGAUUCCUGCCAUAAGUCGACUAAUUUGUUGCUAAGGUAGCAGCAACUAUUCUUGACGAAGGGUAUUGUUUAUUUCAUGACGUGUAUGAACUGGGAUGUCCUUUCGUGCACUUUACGCCCAAUAGUGUACCAUAUUUGCUCGAUAUGGUUCAAAUUCGGACUACGAUUGGGCCAAGGAAGAUAAACCGAAUUCCAUUGGAACAAUGGAUCUUCCUCCACGACGC